rnacentral:lncRNA from 1 species
UCUGUAUGAAUGCAAUGCCACCUGCCACAAAGCCACCAUGAAUAUGCCUUCAAAGCUUCCCCUCGCUACUUAUAAGAACCUUCAAAACUUUGAUGUUCAUGCAGAAGAAUGUCACGGUGAUAGAAAACACAUAAGGUAAUCACAAGCCUUUAGAAAGUUACAAGCAAUAUGAGAUGAAUCAGUAUCCACAUGUAUAUAUAAAAUAGGCAUAAAUGUUACAGCCAUUUUACAUUGCAGUUCUCACCAUGCUAUACAAGAACAUAUAACAGUUUCAUAUUUCCUUUGGAAUUUU